AGCCGCCGCGGUAACACCAGCGCCCCAAGUGGCGAUCCUUUUUAUUUGGCCUAAAGCGUCCGUAGCCUGUUUGGUAAAUCUUUUGUGAAAUUGUUUUGCUUAACGAAACAACGUGCAGGAGAGACUGCCAAGCUAGGGACCGGGAGGAGUCAGAGAUAUGCUGGGGGGAGCGGUAAAAUGCUAUAAUCCUCGGUAGAUCACCUGUGGCGAAGGCGUCUGACUAGAACGGGUCCGACGGUGAGGGACGAAAGCCAGGGGAGCAAACCGGAUUAGAUACCCGAGUAGUCCUGGCCGUAAACGCUGUGAAUUAGGUGUUGCAUAAUCUCCGUGAUUGUGCAGUGUCGAAGCGAAGGUGUUAAAUUCACCGCCUGGGAAGUAUGGUCGCAAGACUGAAACUUAAAGGAAUUGGCGGGGGAGCACUACAAGGGGUGCGGCGUGCGGUUUAAUCUAACUCCACACAGAGAAUCUCACCAGAAGCGACGGCAAGAUGAAGGUCAGUCUAAAGGGCUUACCUGAUGAGCCGAGAGGUAGUGCAUGGCCGCCGUCAGCUCGUGCCGUAAGGUGUCCUGUUAAGUCAGGCAACGAGCGAGACCUGUAUCCACAGUUGCUAACGACUCAUUUUGAGAAUCGAGCACACUGUGGGGACUGCCUUGGAAACAAGGAGGAAGGUGCAGGCAACGGUAGGUCUGUAUGCUCCGAAUCUUCUGGGCUACACGCGCGCAACAAUGGCAUAGACAAUGGGUUGCCACUCCGAAAGGAGAAGCUAAACCUCGAAACUAUGUCUUAGUACAGAUUGAGGGUUGUAACCCACCCUCAUGACGCUGGAAUCCCUAGUAAUCGAACGUCAUCAGCGUUCGGUGAAUAUGUCCCUGCUCCU
rnacentral:rRNA from 1 species